rnacentral:ncRNA from 1 species
GUCAGAAAAACCUCCGAUGGUGUUUGCGCUGCAAAGCGGCGCAGGCGUAAAAGGGAAUACGGUGAGGUGUAGCCAUUAGGCGCCUAGUCCGUAACUGCCCCCGCAACUGUGAGCGGUGAGCGACCCCGAGAUGAUCCACUGAGCCCCUGAGGGCACGGGAAGGAUCGGGGGAGCUGAGAUCCGCAAGUCAGGAGACCUACCAUCGCAACCGUAAUUCU